UGCCUAUGAGGAAUUUGAUCCAUGCCACUCUCAUUCUUGAUACACAUUACCUGUGCUUCAAGCCCAAAGAGUGGUUUUUUUGUAGGGUGUUGUAUUACAUAAUGUCAAACUCCGUAUAGGAAAAUGGUAUAAGGGCUAUAAGCUUCAAAUGAUGUUUCAUUAACAAGUUUAGGUCAAUGCGGCUCUCAUGGGGUUUCUAGCCGAGAUAAUUCAAGCGAAAGCAAAUUGAGGGAUCUCCUCGACGACUCGAAAUAUGUGCUUACUUUUGGGACACAUAAACCUUCCAAAACAAGUAUUCUAAGAGGAUGGUCAUUCAAAACGCAAGCCAGUGCCUAUUAGGGAAGCAAGCAAACUAGAAUGGAUCCAUAUUGGUUUAUUGAUGUUCACUGCCAAUUUGAACAGGUAUAAAAUUAUUGGUUUGUAUACUGGUGUUAAGAUUUGUAGCUGGACCAAGUCACAGCUUCGAGGACGGUGUGGUUGCUACAAGCAUUCAUUCAAAGGUAUUGAGAGCCAUAGAUUGAUGUUAUUGCUAGCUUCGUGAGUGAGAGACUUGUUCGUGAGAGGAUAGGUCCAGCAAUGUUGAGUGCAAUUCAAAGUUAGGUAAUUUAAUUUGCAUUGCAUAAAAAAGUUCAAAGGAUCAUUUACUAUUACAUUGAUGAAUUGGGAAAUUUUGCUUGUGUAUUCACUUGUCUUUGCCGAGACCUCGUACUCUUUCUUCUUAUCUUAAUCUCAGAUGGGUGCUGUCGAAACCGGUUUUGAUGAAGUUUAAAACAUCUUUGACACUGGUGGUUCAAAAUGUUUAUCUGGAAAUUUGGUGAAAAAAUUCCAAUAAUCAAAAUUACUAGUGACAACAAUGUUGAUGCUUCUGGUGAAAGAGCGUCUUGUUCAGUUUGCCUCCAGGACUUUUAGCUGGGAGAGUCAAUUAGAAGCUUGCCCCAUUGUCAUCACAUGUUUCACCUUGCCUGCAUAGACAAGUGGCUGUUUACUGUCUGUUUUUUCGAUAUUCAUAUGAUCAUACUUGUAGAUUAUUUGUGAAGUGUUGUAAUUCUUGCAGAUUAUUUGAAUAUUAAUGUAAUACUAAUUUUUAUUGAUUAAUUUUUUUAAAUGACAUUCACAUAUUUUUGUCAA